UGGAAAAAACACAUUUUAAAUCAGGGAUUUUAAAUCAGCUGACAUCCACCUGAUUUAAAAUGUUAAGAUCAUGGGACACGCUGGGAAUUUUAAAAAUUGAAGUGAUAUUAAGUCAGGCCACCUGACUUAAAAACAUUUCAUAAUUAAAAUUAAAAUAUAAUUAAUAUUAAUAAAAUAGAAAACGAAAGAUGGUUCUCACAAACGCGACCUUCUCCCUCAACACGGACAAAACCGAACCCUAAACGCCUCUCCGCCGCGAACUUCCCCCUCUUUGCAACGAAGCCCUAAACGCCUCUCCACGAAUCCCCUAUCUCUGAUGCCUGUCGGAAAACCUUCCUUCCUCUGCGACGAAAUCAUUUCUACUACCACCGGUGACUUUGUUCUUCCGCCUCGUUGUUUAGAGUUUUCAAGAGUUUUCAAGGGUUUUUCAACAGUUCUCUUCGUUGUUGCCGCCAUCAUCACGUGCAAGUCUUAAUCAAUAUGUAUCCCUAUUUCUUCAGUAAGUAGAUCCGAACUAUGUUUAUCUUAAUCUCAAUUUUCUAUGAUGUGUGAUACUGUUGUUUCUAAGCUUCGAUUUGGAAUCUAGUAGUUCUGUCCAGAAUUUGCGAUUAGACAAUUGUUUCCCACAUUCAUGAUGCUUGUAGAUUUCUCCACACAUUUAGUUAUCAGUAACUUAUUUAACAUCAGUGAUAAUUUAUUCUAGUUAAAUAGAUGAAAUAAGGUAUAAAGAGGUGCUUUUGGUAAGGUACUUUAAUCUACUGUUCAAUAUCCGCUAUUUUUUGUCAAAUAGAGUCAUACUCGUGGAAAUUUGUCUUUGAAAUAGCUGAAAUCCCUAAUUUUAUCUUUGCCAUUCUGAUUGUUGGAAACUCUCCAGUGUAUAUACAUGUUUUGGAUAUAGAGAUUGGGAACAUGUCGGAAAGCAUUCUAAAUCUGAAUUACCACUUUUGAUGGUUAUGUAAGUUUAUAAUAUAUUUUUGUUGGAUUGCAUACUCUUUAUUUGAUAGUUCUUGAAAGUUGUUGUGCUUGUUGCUAACUAUAAGUUGUUGGAUGGUUUCUUAGUUUCCUUGUGAUUUAAGACUUUUUACCAAUUCACGUGUACUGAUUGCUUGUAGAAUUUUUUGUUGUGCUUUUUCUCUUUUAAUUUGGUAGUUUAGAAGCAGUGAUAAUUCUUAUGGACGAUUGUACUUUUUAGCAAUAUUGUGAUCAAAAUUUUGUAUUCUAUGCAAGUUAUACAUUUUAUGGAUAUGGUUAUACUUGAAGAACCAAUAGAGAGGUAUCAUUAGUUGAAGCUUGUUUGGAAUCUUCAUUUUUAGUUCUCUUCAUUGACCAACUGAUUGAAAUGAUAUACUAUUCUCAAGUUCUAUCAAUAGACAGACAUUGAUUAUUAUCAUAAAUUUCAGGAUAUAUUACAAACUCAAUGGCACUAAGGAUUGGUUGCUUUAAUCAAAUGAAUUUUCUAUUUGUCAUGCGAGAAGUUAAAGUUUGAAAUAAUAUGAUUGGUUUCUUGAACCCUUAAGUUAGCAUGUGGAAAAUUUAAAUUGAACGUGAUGUAUUGUCAGACACCAUUUAUUGUGAGUAUAUAAGUUUUGUUUGUCUUUAGCUUAGAGCAUACCCUUUUGUUUGUCUUUAGUUAGCAUUUGGUAGAAUUAGAAAAUGUGUCUAAUGCUUAGUAUAUAUCAUAAGUAAAAGUGAUACUAUUCUUUGGCACUGAUCUAUUGAUUUGUUCUUUUCUAUUGUGAUUCUUUCUUAUCUUGUAGGCAUUUCCUGUUAUGUUUUUAUGGAAUAAUUGGCAUGACUUAGUUUUUGCAAGGAGUUGAAAAAAUCAAGAGUUAAAGAUCAUCAAACACUGCUACAAAUGUCAUUCAGAACCUUCACAAGCUAAGCAAUAUAGAACUAUUGUAAAGAGACAAAUGAGGGGAAGGAAUGCUUCUGAGCUAGACAAAAAAGUACAUAGAGAAUUCAUUCUUUGGUUCGCCAAUCGUAUUGGAAACAAUCUUGAUAGUCAUAGCGGACCAGAUGAAGAUGUUCUUAAUAGUCUUGCACAAGGUCCUUGGUCAAGCUAGAAGGAUCAUUUUCUGUGUGUGCAAGAUUGCAAGAGCACUUAAAAUUUAAUUCUAACAAGCUAUCUAUUCCUUUUUACAUGAGUUGGUUGUGCAUUUGAUGUGAUUCUAGUUGGUUUUGUUUAGGCACUGGUUGCAAACCUGGAUUUCAUGUAUGCUGAUAUCCAGGAAAUGUUAAACAAUUUGGGUGACCUGUUAUGUACCAUAGCUGGAUUUGACUUCUCUUGACAGAAUUAAAAGGUUUGAGGACAUCCUUGUGGAAAUAUGGAGAGAAUUGAUUCAACCCAGCGAACCAACUUAUGAGUUAACUGUUAAAGGAGGAGACAAAGUUAAGCAUACAAAUAGAAGGAAUCGAGGUUACAAGUAUAAAUUUGUAACUUUAUGAUUUAUAAUUGAUGAUUCUAGGUAUAUGAUAUUAACUCUACUAUUAUGGAGUGAUUUUAGUAUAUAUAAGUAUAAUUUAUGCUAUUAGGUGUAUGGUACUCUAUUAUUAUAGUAUCAUGAUUUUAAUGUAGAAGUAUAAUUUUGUAACUUUAUAUUAUUAAUGGAUGAUUUUGGAUUAAAUAAAUUUUGGUGUAUGGUACUCGAGAAACAAUAGUAAA